AGGGAUUAGCGUGGAGGCGUGAGGAAUCAUUACCGAGUUUACAACAUCCCAAACCCCUGUGAACAUACCAAUUGUUGCCUCGGCGGAUCAGCCCGCUCCCGGUAAAACGGAACGGCCCGCCAGAGGACCCCUAAACUCUGUUUCUAUAUGUAACUUCUGAGUAAAACCAUAAAUAAAUCAAAACUUUCAACAACGGAUCUCUUGGUUCUGGCAUCGAUGAAGAACGCAGCAAAAUGCGAUAAGUAAUGUGAAUUGCAGAAUUCAGUGAAUCAUCGAAUCUUUGAACGCACAUUGCGCCCGCCAGUAUUCUGGCGGGCAUGCCUGUUCGAGCGUCAUUUCAACCCUCAAGCCCCCGGGUUUGGUGUUGGGGAUCGGCGAGCCUCACGGCAAGCCGGCCCCGAAAUACAGUGGCGGUCUCGCUGCAGCUUCCAUUGCGUAGUAGUAAAACCCUCGCAACUGGUACGCGGCGCGGCCAAGCCGUUAAACCCCCAACUUCUGAAUGUUGACCUCGGAUCAGGUAGGAAUACCCGCUGAACUUAAGCAUAUCAAUAAGCCGGAGGA
rnacentral:rRNA from 1 species